CGCAGUUUUUCCUCGCGUAUGUCAAAUCAGUGCGCAAUUACGACAGUUAACUCGAUUUGUCACUGCACAUUUAUUGACAAAAUACGUUCUUACGGAUACGCAGUUGCGUGUAGGCCGUACAUGUCUGUUUUCCCACUGAAGUAGGUCGCCGCUGACGAAGACUCAGCUGAAUGAGAGGAGCCGUGAGGCCAUUGAUAUCGAGGAAAAAGGACAAUAAAACUGACUCUCAUAUUCGAUGACAUGGUAGUGUUAUACCACAGCAGGAGAUAAUUCGUCGGCUGCUCAAGCAAAAUAGGCGAUGCGUGUUUUAUGUCGGUACAGAGAGCGGCCAGCCAACAGAGGGCGGAAGGAUGGGCAUGGCGGUAAAAAGAUCCUCUCUCGUGUUCCCGUAUUGGGCACACCGCAACACACUGAAACGCGAGAAAGCAGUGUGGUAGUUUUAUGUCUUCUGACGCGAAUUGUGUCUGCGCCGAUGUCUAUGAAGUGUCUGCAAACGUGGGGAACUUUCAGGUUUGGAGGCUCGGCUCUGACUAAUCAAAUAGCAGGAAUAGUGAACCUCUCUCUCAAGGAGUCGAGCAGCAAGGGUUUUUCUCACAGGCAGGAUGACGUAUCAGAUAUAGAGUGUGCAC
rnacentral:lncRNA from 1 species